AACACACUGAACACACAUCACACAUCAGACACAGAUCAUUUGGGUUUCUGCACCAGGAAAAAACUUUCUACUGCACUUAUCAUCAAGACAAGACAUUAUGAGUGAUAACCAGGGCGCGCCAGCCACGGGGCCAGAGGUGACAGGACCUGACGCAGACGGACAUGGAAAACAUCAUGGAAAACAUGGAAAACAUCACGAAAUACAUCAUGGAAUACAUCAUGGGAAAGAACAUAAAGACAAGGGAGAAGGAAAACCAGAUGAAACGAAAGGAGGUCAUGGUCAUGGUCAUGGUCAUGGUCAUGGUAAAUGAUGAAGAAUCGACAAUCUGUGAUAAUGAUUAUAAAGAAUUCAAUACAUAAUCUCUAAUAAACUAAUCCAGAAAAAAAGCAA